AUUAAUUUAAAAAUCAAGUUUAAAGAUGGACUAUAAACUAAAAUAUGGCUCAGAACACCUUAUCUCAUUUGCUGCAGAAAAACUGGAGCAAAAACAUUUUUUCUAGUAGGAAAAAUGUUGGCAUCCUCUUGUACAUUCGCUGGGAGGCCCUCUAUUCUUAUUUCAAAUUCAGCCAUUCAAUUGAACCAAAAACCAGGGGUUAGGCUUAUCUCUGUUAAGCCUUUCUGUUUCCAUAAUAUCAUCAAGGACAAACAUAGCAUUUCUUUAGAGCAACCCAGAAAACGCCUCCUAGGAAAAACAAAGGUUGCUGAGAGUACUCCUCCAACUAAAGGAAGCAUACUUUGUAAUAAUUGUGACGGAAAUGGAAUGGUGCAAUGUUCACAAUGUGACGGAAAUGGUGUAAAUUCUAUAGACCACUUUAAUGGGCGGUUCAAGGCUGGUGAAAUUUGUUGGCUCUGCAGUUUCAAUGGCUGAUGAAAAAAAUGAUACGUUCUUGAUUAAGACAAUGGCUGCUUCUUGGGCAUCUCUUCAGCACAUAUUUCGAUGUUGUUCUAUAAAGUCUUGAUGAAUUUAAGAGGAUUAGUUGGGAUAGCUGAUGGAUUGGAUUGAUGGAUUGAUGUAAGAGGCGUUCAGAUAUCAUGAAUUUUGAUCUUAGCUGCUGAUGGAUUGAUAUACGAGGCAUUCAGAUAUCAUGAAAUUUAAUUUGAAAUGUUGAUGGGUCAUGGAAUCAAAUCAAAAUGUUGAUAAAAUAAACUCACAUAAUCAAAUUCAAGAACUUCUCAUACUAAUUUCAUAAGCUUUGAAAAAACUUUGUCUUCACUGGAUUUUUCUUUUAUCUUCACUAAAUUUUUCCUCUGUAUAUAUGUUUGAUAUUAUUAUACAGAGGAUUGGUUGAGAUAACUGAUGGGUUAUUAUAAGAGGCAUCCCAUACUAAUUUCAUAAACUCUGGAGAUUCUCUGUCUGCACUGAAUUUUUCUUGUGUUUAUGUGUUUGAAAUAAUUACACAGAGGAUUGGUUGAGAUAGUGAUGGGCUCAUAUGAAAGGCCUUCAGAUAUAUGAAAUUUGAUUGGAAAUUUUGGUUGGUUCACACAAUCAAAUUUAAAAAUGUUGUAUGUUAA